GUUGGCAAGUAUGCACACCUGUGCUCCCUGGGCCUCCAUGCCAGCUACCUGGAAUAACAUCUCAGCUACCUGGAAUAACAUCUCAGCAGCCAUCCUCUUCUUUCAAGCCCAAAGAUAAGAUGAGUAGAUUGUGGCCAUGGAGCUCCUGUGCUGGCAGCUAAAUAUUCAGCACCGCAACUUUUCCCCAAGCGCUGCUGGAUAGCCGUUGCUCUCCUCCAUCUUUGUGGCCGAGUCAUCCUGCUCUGCUGGGUUCUGGUCCUCUGGAGCUUUCUGGCCGGCGCCCUGCUUGUCCCUGAACACCUCCACGCCCAGCAUGCGCAGGUAGUGGUAGCGCUCGUUCCGGGCCACGAAGGCUCGGAUGGACGUCUUGCCUCUCCAGCCGCACAGCCGGAUGGGACACUGAGGCUCCGAGGGCUUCCUGUGCCACAAGAAAGGGAAGAUGAGGGAAGGAGAAGACUGGAGCCUACAGGACAGCUUGCUGAGGAAGGGAUUCUCCUGAGUCAGCAGCACCUUCACAUCCUCCACGCUCAACGUGAUGAUCCUGGAGCGAAUGUACGGCUGCAGAGUGUAGAUGCCCUGAGGAGGGGGGCGGAGUCAGCAGGUCGCUUCAGGCUGAGUAAACAAAGUGAAGCGGAGUCCCAGCGGGCAGCAGUGCGUGUUUGCCAGAGUCCACAGAACAACAGGAGCGCCGCUAUGACAGCUUCGUCCUCAAUGGGGUUGAGUGAACAGGUGGAGUAGACCAUCCUCCCGCCCACAGCCAGCUGCUCCACACCAUGGACCGCUAUACGCAGCUGGAGGCUGGGUACGUCACACAAGAUGCGGUCGUAGAAGAGGACAUCUUUCUUCCCGUUCGUCUGGAUGCGCAGUGUGGGGAUGCAGGAGGCGUCGUGGUUGACCACCACGAUGCACGGGCUGUUGAGGCGCUUGGUCUGGUGCACCAGCAGGUAGCAGCGCUUGUUGUCCACGUCGUUGGCGAUGACGAAGCCCUCUGAAAAUACAGUAUUCACAGCACUCUACUCAUUUUAUGUUACAUCUUUAGUCCAAACUGGAGUAAAUUCAUUUUGUCCUCAAAAUUCUACACACAAUACCCUAUAAUGACAAUGUGAAAACAUUUUUGAGCUUUUUUGCAAAUUUAUUAGA